CUGGAGGUAUCAGAAGUGCGAAUGCUGACAUAAGUAACGAUAAAGCGGGUGAAAAGCCCGCUCGCCGGAAGACCAAGGGUUCCUGUCCAACGUUAAUCGGGGCAGGGUGAGUCGACCCCUAAGGCGAGGCCGAAAGGCGUAGUCGAUGGGAAACAGGUUAAUAUUCCUGUACUUGGUGUUACUGCGAAGGGGGGACGGAGAAGGCUAUGUUGGCCGGGCGACGGUUGUCCCGGUUUAAGCGUGUAGGCUGGUUUUCCAGGCAAAUCCGGAAAAUCAAGGCUGAGGCGUGAUGACGAGGCACUACGGUGCUGAAGCAACAAAUGCCCUGCUUCCAGGAAAAGCCUCUAAGCAUCAGGUAACAUCAAAUCGUACCCCAAACCGACACAGGUGGUCAGGUAGAGAAUACCAAGGCGCUUGAGAGAACUCGGGUGAAGGAACUAGGCAAAAUGGUGCCGUAACUUCGGGAGAAGGCACGCUGAUAU
rnacentral:rRNA from 1 species